rnacentral:rRNA from 1 species
UACAGAGGGUGCAAGCGUUGUUCGGAAUUAUUGGGCGUAAAGCGCGUGUAGGCGGCUUUUCAAGUCGGGUGUGAAAGCCCUCAGCUCAACUGAGGAAGUGCGCCCGAAACUGCAGAGCUUGAGUACCGGAGAGGAUGGCGGAAUUCCCCAAGUAGAGGUGAAAUUCGUAGAUAUGGGGAGGAACACCGGUGGCGAAGGCGGCCAUCUGGACGGUCACUGACGCUGAGACGCGAAAGCGUGGGUAGCAAACAGG